AUGUAGUGGAAUCAGCCAGCACUAGAGCUGAUCAUGCAUACCUCUCCCUAGCUCCUCCACACCAAGGGAGUUUGUGUUGGCAAACUUACACCAAAGGAACUGCCAACCAGUGCAAAUCCUGGUUUUGCCAGGAAGCUGAUUAAACAUUUACAUACCCAACACUAUAGACACAAAAUAUAUGCAAGGUAAGCAUUCUUAAAAGCUCAUUUUGCAAAUGAGAAAACGAAGUUUCUGAGAAGGAUAGCAUCUUCUAGAUGAAUGACCUUGACCAAGAGUGAUGUCUGUCUAGUUAGGUAAAAAUCCUUGGCUCUCUCUAUUAAUAUCACAAGGUAGUAAGAGAACUCUCCUGUCAGUCAAAAGGUAGUUGGCUCAUAGGCUCCCCCAUCAGCUAAAGGUGAAACAAGGCCACCUAAUGGUGACUGGUGUGCCACCAAGCAAAGUUGGCCACCAAGCUACAGAACCCAGGACUGAGACAUGAAUUCAAUAAAAGGUAGUCCUAUUCCCAGCACAAGAGAGAUGAAUGCAGCUCAACUCCACCCACUUUUUCCUGGAGAUAACGUCUUACAGAUCUUUUUGCCCAAACUGACUUUGACUGUGAUCCUCUAAAUCCCAGCCUCCAAAGUAGCUAGGAUUUACAUGCAUGAGCUACCAGUAAAUUUUUUAAAUUGUGUGUGUGUGUGUGUGUGUGUGCACACGCAUGCAUGCA